rnacentral:piRNA from 1 species
UGUCUCAACUUUCGAGUAUUGCCAGUUCCC